rnacentral:rRNA from 1 species
UACCGAGUUUACAACUCCCAAACCCAAUGUGAACGUUACCAAACUGUUGCCUCGGCGGGAUCUCUGCCCCGGGUGCGUCGCAGCCCCGGACCAAGGCGCCCGCCGGAGGACCAACCUAAAACUCUUAUUGUAUACCCCCUCGCGGGUUUUUUUAUAAUCUGAGCCUUCUCGGCGCCUCUCGUAGGCGUUUCGAAAAUGAAUCAAAACUUUCAACAACGGAUCUCUUGGUUCUGGCAUCGAUGAAGAACGCAGCGAAAUGCGAUAAGUAAUGUGAAUUGCAGAAUUCAGUGAAUCAUCGAAUCUUUGAACGCACAUUGCGCCCGCCAGUAUUCUGGCGGGCAUGCCUGUCCGAGCGUCAUUUCAACCCUCGAACCCCUCCGGGGGGUCGGCGUUGGGGAUCGGCCCUCCCUUAGCGGGUGGCCGUCUCCGAAAUACAGUGGCGGUCUCGCCGCAGCCUCUCCUGCGCAGUAGUUUGCACACUCGCAUCGGGAGCGCGGCGCGUCCACAGCCGUUAAACACCCAACUUCUGAAAUGUUGACCUCGGAUCAGGUAGGAAUACCCGCUGAACUUAAGC